rnacentral:rRNA from 1 species
AUUGAACGCUGGCGGCAGGCCUAACACAUGCAAGUCGAACGAGUGGCGGACGGGUGAGUAAUGUCUGGGAAACUGCCCGAUGGAGGGGGAUAACUACUGGAAACAGUAGCUAAUACCGCAUACCAUCGGAUGUGCCCAGAUGGGAUUAGCUAGUAGGUGGGGUAACGGCUCACCUAGGCGACGAUCCCUAGCUGGUCUGAGAGGAUGACGAGCCUACCUGUAACUGAGACACGGUCCAGACUCCUACGGUGGGCGGCAGUGGGGAAGAUUGCACUAUGGGCGCAAGCCGGAUGCAGCCCUGCCGCGUGUAUGAAGAAGGCCUUCGGGUUGUAAAGGACUUUCAGCGAGGAGGCGUUACUCGCAGAAGAAGCACCGGCUAACUCCGUGCCAGCAGCCGCGGUAAUUC